rnacentral:rRNA from 1 species
CAGUAGCCGCGGUAAUACGUAGGUGGCAAGCGUUGUCCGGAAUUAUUGGGCGUAAAGCGCGCGCAGGUGGUUUAAUAAGUCUGAUGUGAAAGCCCACGACUCAACCGUGGAGGGUCAUUGGAAACUGUUAAACUUGAGUGCAGGAGAGAAAAGUGGAAUUCCUAGUGUAGCGGUGAAAUGCGUAGAGAUUAGGAGGAACACCAGUGGCGAAGGCGGCUUUUUGGCCUGUAACUGACACUGAGGCGCGAAAGCGUGGGGAGCAAACAGGAUUAGAUACCCGGGUAGUCCCUGUCUCUUAUAC